rnacentral:rRNA from 1 species
CACGUAGGCACCAAGCGUUGUCCGGAUUUAUUGGGCGUAAAGAGCUCGUAGGCGGUUGAGUAAGUCGGGUGUGAAAACUCUGGGCUUAACCCAGAGCCGCCACCCGAUACUGCUCUGACUUGAGUUCGGUAGGGGAGCGGGGAAUUCCUAGUGUAGCGGUGAAAUGCGCAGAUAUUAGGAGGAACACCGGUGGCGAAGGCGCUGCUCUGGGCCGAUACUGACGCUGAGGAGCGAAAGCGUGGGUAGCAAACAGG